UCACAAAAAUAACUGCUGUGAUGGCAGUUCAUAGCAGUUUCUUGUGGUGGUUUUAUCAACUGGUGGUUACCUCUACCUCUUCCUGCCCAUGUUCUCCACUCCCCAGUUUUACGCAUCCACGUUUUCCCAUCCCCUCAUUUCCUUAAAAACCAACUAAAUAGCAGAGAUGCCCAAUUUUCCUUCCUACUAUAGCUAUACUUCGUCUAUUGUCUCCCCACCAUUAACCAUCUUCCACCACAACUCCAUUAUUAUUGCAUUGUUUGUUAUCAUAUGGGAUUCUGCCCAAUUCUUCUUUUAAUGUUAAUAUUAGAUGUUUUCUCAAUUUGUGAUUUUCUGAUUUAAGGAAAACCCCUAGAGUUUUUUUUAUUCUAUUUGAUUUUGAUGGAUGAUGAUUGUUCAGGGACAUCAAUUGGCACAAGUAAUGGUGUCGGAAUUGCAGCCACGGAUAGUAGCUCUGGUAAUAACCAGUUUUCGGCGGAUUUGAAGAAAUCGAAGAAGGAGAGAGGCUGUAUGGCCAAAGAAGGCAUUAAUAAAUGCCUUCGUGUGUUGCCGGAAAACACAAUUCUAUCCACCAUGACCUUACUAGGCUGCAACUUGAGUUGGUUUUUGCGCACAGAAGGCUGCUGGUAUACUUCCAAGCCACCCUCUGCAUAUUGGUUAGGGUUUGGUUGGAGGUGCAUAUGGUGCUUUGGGUGCAGGCUAUGGAGGUCCAGGAUAUUUAUUCACAGGGGACCUAGGACAGCGGGCAUGGUUUUGAGGCGAAUGCUUUUGUGGAUGGAAGGAUCGGAUAUGUUCCGUAACAGCCAGGUGUACCGCCACACACCCCCCACCCCAACCGCAACAUCAAAGAGGGGGUGGUGGUGGUGGUGGUGGUGGUAUGAAGUGGUCCAAGUGGGGGUUGCAGAUGUUAUAUUAGUGGUGUACCGUUUGCUGAGUAAAAGAGGUGGUAUACUGAUCACAUCUCAUAAAGUAUUAAAUUUACCCUCCGACUGGUUUGACCGGCUACCCAACCGGCCCAUUUUCGACCCAAGCUACAAUUUCAAUGGUUUCUGAUAUUGUGCAGUGAGAUAAGGAGAGCUCAAGAUAAGCUCAUAGGAAUGUAUAUGUGAAUUAUCCAUAACAUAGUGAACUUUUGAGAUUAAAUGAUGUCAACCAGGGGUGAAGGGGAUCUUGGGCAAUGUAUCUGUGAUGAAAUCCUAAUCAUCCAACUAUUUCACAAGUCCUAAUCAUCCAACUAUUUCACAAGUCUUCUGCAGCUUACACAUGUAGCAUUACUUGUGUCUUAGGAGCCGUAUUUGGAGUUCUCACCUGGAUCUAAUGGUAGGAUGACAACAAUGGGCGUAUAUGUUCGGAUCUAGGGAUGAGCAUUUGGGACUUGGUACGGUACCUAAUAUUUUUUCGCUACCGAUUCGGUACCCACUUUUUGGAGUUUUCGGUACCGGUAUUUUUGGUAUGGUACCGGAAAUUUACAUAAUUUUACACAAAAAUACUGGUACCGUACCGUACCGAACAUUUUUUGUAUUGGUACCCACAUUUGACAAUUUUCGGUACCGGUACCGGUAAUACCGAACUCAUCCCUAGCCAACGCGGAUACAACCGACUCAUGGGAUUACCCAAACAAUAAACUUUCCUUUUAUAUAGGUAGCGAAGUUCUAUAAAUGGUUUUGACUCAUCGUUUAUAUGAUCUGUAUUCCAUCUAUCUGAUUUUCAGUUGGUUAACUUAUCUUUGAUUUGUUUUUUUUUUUUUCCGGGCUGUAUAUAUAGAAUUGAAGGCUUUGUAUGUUGAAAUGACUAAACUUCACGUUUGAUAAUUUCAAUUUCUUUAGUAAGUGUUUGGAUUACAAGAGAGUCCAAAGUGAAGUGAGCAGAGAAGCCCGGAUAAAGGAAAGUAAAGGGAUUUUGAAGCCUACUGGGAAUUCUGCUUGUGUCAUGAUGCAUGAGGUUUCAUGUAAAGGGUCUAAUAAAGGAAGAGACACAUAUUUGGUUGUGCAGCCAGACUCUUCUGGUGAGGUUGGACCCCCUGGAUACCGACUUGAUGAAGUGAGUCCAAUGCACCUGGUAAGAUGGAUAUAGGUAAUGUUGUUAUGAAUCAAUGUAAAUGAUCCAGAUGACUUCAGAAUUAAUGGCGAGGAUUUAGAUGCGGUUAGUUAAAGCCGAAGCUGAAGUUGAUGAUCUUAGAACGGGCCAGCUUACGUCUUUACAGAUCACUCACUGAUCAUUUCUUUUUGCAUUUGUUUUGAUUUGGUAUGCUUUUAGGACAUUUAUUUUGGCUGAAAAUGGUUUGAGAUAAUUGAUGCUUAAUGUCAUUUUGUUCUAUUGCAAUUUUGUGUGGUUAUAAAAUGCAAUUGACAUAGAAUGGACAUGGUCAAAUUUGCCCUAUCAUUUUGUUAAUAAUGAAUUGCAAUAUGUCAAAUGUCUGUGAUUUAUUUCCUUAUAUUUGUUGAUCCGUAAAUGUUUGAAUAGUUUUGUAAAAUUGAUACCUCUUCUGUUUACAUAUCAUACGCUCAAUAUUUUUCUUGAAUGGGAAAUAUUUGGAGGCUUUAGAUUACAUUGUGAUCUAAACUCUAAAGCCUGAAAUUAUUCUUAUUAAAAGCUAUAGCCAAUAUCAGAUCAAGGUAUAUUAUUACGGUAAAGUACCCGUCCACCGGACGGGUAUAAUACAAUAGUUUUUUUGUUUUUCUCAUUUG